CGCCCCUCCCAUCCGCGGGCCAGCCCCGCGAAGGCGGGCCGAAGGGAAGGGGCGGGCUUGUUUACGGCCCGACUGCGCAGGCGUGCUCACCUGGCGUGCUCCACCCGGCUGGGCGUCCGCAGGCUCCUCCCCCGGGCGUGGCCUCCGGGCGGCCCGGCUGCUUCCCAGGUGAUGUUGGUUCCAGCCGGUGGGGUCUAGUUGACGGUUCCGCAGCCACUAGGACCAACGGAAAGCCGAUCAUGGGGAACCGCGGCGGGGCUGGUGUCAGGAGCCUGAGGUGAACUUGAGGGUGCUUCCUCAGCGGUCUCCCCCCCUGCCCUGAGGGGCGCCGGGACCCCAAAGAGCGGAGGAAGAGCGCCACCCCGACUGCCACCGCUUCGGGGCCAGCACGCGGGGUACCCUACAGGGAGCGCGGAUGCCCCUGUGUUCGGGCGGGGACGGCUCCACCCCUCCUGGGCCCUCCCUUCGGGACGGGGACUGUCCCGCCCAGAGAGAGUGCUGACUACCCGCGCGACCGUCUUGAUCCCCGGUCAGGAAGCAAGCCCCUUGGAAGCCUCCUCGCCGCCGUUUCUGAGAAGGCCCUCUAGCCCAGUCCAAGAGCACCUGGCCACCUGGAGAAGCACUGCUGGACUGGGGGAAUUAGGCCAUACAGCAUCUACAGAGAAGCCCAGCUCCUUACUGGGACCCUGGUCCACUUCCCAAGUUGACCUUCCUGCAAGAAGAGAACAUAUCACGUAUUUUAAUACAUUUGACAGUCACAGGGGAAGUCUAAGGAAGCCAGGGCCUGCCUGCUUGUGGCCUGUCCAAGUUCAUCCUCUGCCACCCUAUCUCUGUUAUGUUUGGUUUGGAAGUCCAGAAGAUUGUGUUUAUGUUCCCAGCAGGGCACCCGUUCACUGGUACCAAGAAAAAGCCCAAGUGUUUCCCUGGCAUCAGGUGGUGUCUGGAUCCACCACUCCACACUGUCUCUGGAAACAGCCCUUCCACGUCUCUGCAUUCCCUGUUACUGUGUUGCUGGCCUUCGGACGGAGCCAAGGUGCAUGGCAACACCUCUAUGAGGGUCUGUAGCCAUUUAUAUUGCUUAGGCUACUGCCACAGGACAAAAGAAUGGAAGAGGAGAAAGCAGCAGGAGAGAGAAGUGAACCAAAUUUUGAAUGCUGGGAGCAGAUGGACAGGUGGUGACUGACCUUCCCUCAAGCAUCUCUGGAGCCACAGCCCCUAGCCGGCCAUGUCCAGCAUGUGGUAAUUUAUUGAACAAGAAUGGGAGGUACUAAAAUACUGACUAGAA